UACGUAGGUGGCAAGCGUUGUCCGGAUUUACUGGGCGUAAAGAGCGCGCAGGCGGUCGUGCAAGUCGCGUGUGAAAGCCCCCGGCUCAACUGGGGAGGGUCACGCGAUACUGUUCGACUCGAAGGCAGGAGAGGGAAGCGGAAUUCCCGGUGUAGUGGUGAAAUGCGUAGAUAUCGGGAGGAAUACCUAUGGCGAAAGCAGGCUACUGGACCGUCACUGACUCUGAUCUGCGAAAGCUAGGGGAGCAAACAGG
rnacentral:rRNA from 1 species